rnacentral:rRNA from 1 species
UACGUAGGUGGCAAGCGUUGUCCGGGAAUUACUGGGUGUAAAGGGCGCGUAGGCGGGAAGGCAAGUCAGAUGUGAAAUCCCAGGGCUUAACUCUGGAGCUGCAUCUGAAACUGUUUUUCUUGAGUACUGGAGAGGAAAGUGGAAUUCCUAGUGUAGCGGUGAAAUGCGUAGAGAUUAGGAGGAACACCAGUGGCGAAGGCGGCUUUCUGGACAGUAACUGACGCUGAGGCGCGAAAGCGUGGGGAGCAAACAGGAUUAGAUACCCU